ensembl:lncRNA
UUUGCCAUCACACAACUUCUUUAUACUAUUUGCAUUUAAAACUUGCUGUUAAUGUUGUUUUAAUAGCAUUACAAUAAUGGACUUUCUCCAAUUUCUAAGCCAGUUUGGGCCCCUCCACCCUUUUCCUCUGGACGAGUAUACCUGGACUGUGUUGAAGAUGCUUCCUAAGGAUGUUCUGGCUUCAUGGUUGAUGAAUCAGAUGACUGGAGGACCACCCAUGUCUGGAGUACCCUCCCAGACCCAGGUUUGUUUGUCUUAGAUUAGGGUUAGUCAGCGUUAUUCGUUUCUAUGAGCAUGAUAAGGUAAUUAGUUAUAGACUGACAUUAUUAAUGCAUUAGACUGAAAAUAACUGCUGCUCUGCAGAAAGCAUGCGCUCUUUUGCUAGCAAGCAUGGUUGUUAGAAUUUAGCAAGCCAUAAGUGCAAACCCAGCAGAACUAUGGGCCAGUGCCCAUAUCUGAUCUGAUUUGGGGGCCACUUUGACUGAAAAUGUGUGCCUAUGAUUAACUCCUGUCCGUGGUGGCCGUCAGGGCUGGCCUAUAGAUUGUCAGAAUCUGAAAAAUUGAAUUUUAUUAUUUAAUAUAUAUUUUCAUAAAUGCUAUAUAUUUUACAAAGUUCAUUCCCAUCAGUCUAUAAACGUAAUUUCAGAUAUACGCUCUCCUUCAGUUGCGCUGCUUCACGUGCAAUUCAUAUAAAUUAAAGCUUUUAUCCAAUUAGAUUUUCACCAGUGCUGUCUCCAGUUUAACUGUAGGUGUUCAGAUUUCGAGGAAUCCAAUCUGCAAUUGAAGCGAUCGGGACCGCGUUGUUGAUUGUCAUAUUAAUUAACCAAUCGGAUUUCGAGUUUUUCGUGUUGGGCGUAUUCUUAGACACACUGGAGCCUUCCAGUUGGCCUAGGCUUACGUCAGCAUUUUUCGUAUUGCUGAUAGGAGUGGCUGGUAGCUAACAGAAGAAAACUAGCUGACAAUUUACCUAGCAUUAUCUCCAUUUGAAACGUUCAAUCUUUAGCUGUAGUGCUUUAGAUUUGUUGUUUAGAUUUUUACUUUUGGCCAAACGGCAGAUGGAGAAGAAAUAGAUUUGGUGACGAAUUUACUAAAUCAUAAAUCCUUUUAAAAAAAAGGAGGAUGGAAUUUGUCUUAAAACAAUAAGCAGCUUUGGGACAAUGGCAAAGUCAAUUUUUUAACACAUCUCACUCUGGAUUCCAGUACCAACCCAACUCAGUAUCUGCUACCUUCCAGCCAAACUCCAGCCAAGGACAGGACAAUGACGAUUUUAUGGACUGGACCGAAGGUCCCCAGGUCACCAACAACAUUGGUCUAUGGCAAAAUCAAGUCCCCUGUCAACAGCAUGAGCAGCCAAUGGAUGUUGAUGUUGGGGAAGUGAAACACAACAAAUCAGCAGGCACUAGCCUUCCAACCAUCUGUCCCAGCCACUCAGCAGCUGCUAAAACAGUCUUGCCCAGCAAAUCAGUAGCGACUACUGAGAAAACAAUCUGGGAUAGCCAAUCAGCAGCUAGUACCAAGAAAACACUCUGGGAUAGCCAAUCAGCAGCUAGUACCAAUAAAACAAUCUGGGAUAGCCAAUCAGUAGCUAGUACAAAGAAAACAAUCUGGGAUACCCAAUCAACAGCUAGUACCAAGAAAACAAUCUGGGAUAGCCAAUCAGCAGCUAGUGCCAAGAAAACAGUCAGCUCUAGCCAAUCAGCUUCUAGGUCCUUCCACCAGAAUGAGCUGCAAAUGGAUGUUGAUGUUGCUGAAGUGAAAAAAACCAACAAACCAGCAGGUACUAGCCGUGCAACAGUCUGUCCCAGCCACUCAGCAGCUGCUAGAACAGUCUUGCCUGGCCAGUCAGCAACCUCCAAGGACACAGUCCAGUUUAAGCGACCAGAAGCUCCUAUGAAGAUAACAGUCUUUCCCAGAAAAUCAGCAGGUACUAGCCAUGCAACAGUCUGUCCCAGCCACUCAGCAGCUGCUAAAACCGUCUUGCCUGGCCAAUCAGCAACCUCAGAGACAACUGUCCAGUUUAAGCGACCAGACGUUUCUAGGAAGACCACAGUCCUGCCCAGGAAAUCAGAAGAUGCUACAUCCAGGUCAUUUCGCCAAUGGAAUGCUGCACAAUCUGGGCCAUCCAGCAAGACAGCAACCAGCCAAGCAUCUACCAGCCAGGGAGCCCCGGGACAAUCAUCCUUAACCCAAACAGCAGUCUCCAACAGCCAAUCAGCAACCUGCACUAAGAGACAUGGUGACAAAGUGAGAAGCAGCAGCCCUCCCUGGGAGAAUGGUUCCAAGAGAAGGAAGAUGUAGAGCAGGGAAACACAGGCUCAGAGGGAACAGUGUCACCGUCCUACUCAGUCCAACAUAGUGCCAUUAAUGUGGAGAUCACACCAAAGGAAGACUUUUUUUUUUACAAUAACAUAUGUUAUUUAGAAAAUAAACUUCUGAAAUUUUAAAAAGUAAGACCUUUGAUGUAAAAAUAGAUUUUUAGGGAAAUCAUUCAUGUCCGCAGGACAAUUCUUAUACCGAAGGAAAUAAAAUGUGUGAACAAAUAAUAUUUAUUCACACAUUUUAUUUAGUUUGAACAAAUAAUAUUUAGAAAUUAA